rnacentral:tRNA from 1 species
GCGGAUGUGGCGGAAUUGGCAGACGCACUAGACUUAGGAUCUAGCGNCUGGCCUUCCAAGCCAGCUGUGAGGGUUCGAUCCCCUUCACCCGCUCCA